CUUCAGGAUGUGCUUAUUAUAAUACACGUCCAACCACAUUCCCCUAAACAUGAUAACUACAUUAUGUAAAUGCUUGAUAUCAAUGUGUUUCCACAUGAGACUAACCCUGGAAAAUGGUGAGUCUCCAGCCUGGAAAAAGGAAAGGUUAGAAUGAAGAAAACCUAGAAAAUCAUGAACACACGUGAGAGACAGGCUCAGUCUGUUCAUUAAAUUCCGGGACACUCAAGUUAGAGAACACCCUCUGAAGCUUAAGAGAGGUCAUUUUAGACUUUAUACCAUGGAUGGUAAGUUCAUGAAGCUUAGCUCCAGAAGUAGUGCAGCCUCAGAAUGAAAAUGAGUUCAAGGAAAUGUUAAAUCAGUGGACAACAGAUUUAGAGAGGGUUUGUAUCAUUUAUCAUCACAGCAAACACUUAUUGAGUGCCACAACCUGUUGGGGCUCACACUAGGGCCCUUGAACCUGUUGAAGUUGACACCAUGAAGGCAAUUACAGUGUCCCAUGACACAGUCCCCUCAAGCCACUGCCAGAAUCCUGGCUUGGUUGUCAGCAAUCUCACCUAGAGCGAUGAGCUGUUUGUUCUUGUCCUUCAGCUCCAGCAUGAUGAAGGACAUUAUAUGAAUGAUUUAUCAUGUUAGUUAUGAAUGCUACAAGUUUAGACAAACCAUCCUUGUCUUUCUCCUAAAGAAUAAACACGAUCCUUUUCAUAUUUUGCUCCAGGCCCUCUAAACCGGCUGUGUGCCUGCAGGUGUGUGCGUCUUGUCUUCCUACACACUUUACUGAGCUUCUGUCGCAGCACCAAGGCUGUACCUGACCUUGAGAAGUUCAUGCUGGAGAAUGAAUAACACAGUAGGUACAGUCCCGUGGAUAGCAUCUCAAUGCUGGGAGGUCUCCAGCUGUCCAAGACUGGAUUGUCUACUCAGCAUAUGACUCUCAUUUUCCUUCAGGUUCCUUGAUAGGCUGGUUCUUCUCUAAUUGAUGGUGCUAUUGUCAUCCAGACCUAU
rnacentral:lncRNA from 1 species